rnacentral:rRNA from 1 species
CCAUAGAACGCCUGGCGGCGAGGCCCUAAUACAUUGCAAUUCGGGGCAAAUGUAAUCUCAUAAGCCUUGGUAUCCCGAAGUUAGCGGCGGACGGGUGAGUAACACGUGGGUAACCUGCCCAUAAGACUGGGAUAACUCCGGGAAACCGGGGCUAAUACCGGAUAACAUUUUGAACUGCAUGGUUCGAAAUUGAAAGGCGGCUUCGGCUGUCACUUAUGGAUGGACCCGCGUCGCAUUAGCUAGUUGGUGAGGUAACGGCUCACCAAGGCAACGAUGCGUAGCCGACCUGAAAGGGUGAUCGGCCACACUGGGACUGAGACACGGCCCAGACUCCUACGGGAGGCAGCAGUAGGGAAUCUUCCGCAAUGGACGAAAGUCUGACGGAACAACGCCGCGUGAGUGAUGAAGGCUUUCCGGUCGUAAAACUCUGUUGUUUGGGGAGAACAAGUGCUAGUUGAAUAAGCUGGCACCUUGACGGUACCUAACCAGAAAGCCACGGCUAACUACGUGCCAGCAGCC